rnacentral:rRNA from 1 species
GUAGGAUCCGAGCGUUAUCCGAAUUUACUGGGCGUAAAGCGCGUGUAGGCGGUCGGGUAAGUUGGACGUGAAAGCUCCUGGCUCAACUAGGAGGGGUCGUUCAAAACUGCCUGGCUAGAGGGCGACAGAGGGAGGUGGAAUUCCCGGUGUAGUGGUGAAAUGCGUAGAUAUCGGGAGGAACACCAGUGGCGAAGGCGGCCUCCUGGGUCGCACCUGACGCUCAGACGCGAAAGCUAGGGGAGCGAACGGGAUUAGAUACCCCGGGUAGUCCUAGCUGUAAACGAUGUGGACUUGGCGUUGGUGGGGUUAAAUCCCAUCAGUGCCGUAGCUAACGCGAUAAGUCCACCGCCUGGGGACUACGGUCGCAAGAUUA